UUUUUUUUUUUUUUCCUUGAGUAGGAUUCGGUUACCCAUUCCAGCCUCCUGUGGCUGGAGGACCUGGAGGAACUUUCGAAGCCAUGAAAGGCCUCUCUCUGACUUUGCUGAGGGCCGGGGUGGGGUGCGCCCGCGGUGAGCCCUGGCCGAGGUCUGUGCAGGCCUCUUGUCUCGGAGGCCAGCUGCUCGGCAGAAGGGAACGACCUACGGCGGAGCGGGCAGCGUGCUUCGGGAUGCCGCCUCACCCAGGCUGAACAGGCAUCCGUGGAAAUUCCUGAACCCUCAGCUAAAAUCUCGUGCUCCCAGACGCCAUUCUCCAUGUGUAGAGCCACCUUUGGGUGUUUCUGGGGGCAGAGAUGAGGCAAAGGUGGUAGUUUUGCCAGAUGUCCAAGCCCUGAUGUUCCACACCUCUCAGUGUAGCAUUCAAGACCCUUGGCCAAAACUGGUGGCCUUGGGGCCAGACUUGUGCAGGAGACCCUUGAACCAGGAGGGUCUGCCCACAGCACCAGAGGCUCCCCUUCCCCUUCCUUUCAGAUGCUCCUCUGCCCCCACUGCCACCCCUGCCUGUCAUCCUCCUUCCUACUGGCAUCUUGCUUUUUCCCAAGUCUCUCUGAGCUUUGGGGGGGCUCUACCUCCUCCAGCUCACAAAAUCACAAGUGUUUUUGUUCUGCUUCUUAAAGGGACACACACGCGUUGUCUCCUAGGGAAAGGUUGAGCUUUGGGGUGUGACCACCUGUAUCUUCAGAUUUUCUGGUACUGACUUGUGGUUGUAUGUGAGAAGGAGCUUGAGGUCCCCAAAGGACACCCAGGGCUCAGGAGUGGCUGCGGUCCAUGGGGGUGCCCACUCGGAGCCAGAAUCAAAGAGUGCGUGCUGGCUUAGGUGCCUUCUCAGAAUUCCCAGAUUUGCUGAUUUGGGGCUGGGGGCAGGGUGGGGGAAGUGGGGAGGGCACAGCUCAGCAGGAAGUCGUGGAAUCCCUGCAUGGGAAAGUUAUUUCCUUUUCAAGAACAUCAGGAGAAAGUUUCAACUUGGUGCUAACGUGUCCUUAACAUCUCUCUGACACUUGCUUAAGUAUCCUGUGCAGAGGGGAAGCCAUUCCUGGCUCAGAGCAGGCAGCAGCAGCUGGCUAGAAUUGAAUACAUUGGUCUGUUUGGGGGGGAUGAUGGUCUGAGUAUGUAUGACAAGUGAUACUGAUUUUCCUUUUAUGGUUGUUUUCUUUUGGCAUGAAUUCAUUUAAAUUUUUGAAAAUUUAAUCAAAUUCUGCAGAAGAAAAAGUAGUGAUUAUGCUAUUAGUACAAGGAUACUGCAAGAAUCGUGAAGAUGCUCCUAGAAAGAACCAGAUAAGCUCUUCACUUUACGCUGGGGAAGCUGAGGCCCUGCGAAGUCUGUGCGCACCUGGCGUCUGAGCAGGCCUCGGGUCUCAGAUCUCCUGGGCCGUUCCCUCAGGGGCGGAGACCUAAGGCCCUUCCUUAUCACUUGGCUGAUGACACUGCUGAGAUUAUGUCUUGCUGUCCUUUAUCCUGCUGCUUCUCUCAUGGGAAGCCAGGACUCGGCAGUAGUUGAUCCUCUACAAACAGCAGAUGAUUCUCAAAAACUUUCAGUGCACUGAGAAUUUAGCUGAAAUGACACUUUGGUUUUAUUGACAUCUGAAAGUUGCUGGCAUUUUGCUGACUUUCUGCGACAGAAAAUUUACAAUAUUUCCUCCCUGUCUCUCUCCUUUCCUUCUCUGCUUCCUUUUUCAUUCAGCCACUAGUGGAAAUGCCCAGUGUUUUCCAGGCCCUGGGGGACUCGAAGAUCUCAUGGGUGUGGUCCUCCCCUCAAAGAAGGGGCAGGGCCUGGGUGACCCCUUGGGUGAUGGACACAAACUCGCCUGUUCUCCCAGUCCUUCCCAGCUGCCUCCCUCACUCAUGGGACUCUGCACAACAGAGGCAGGAGCUGACCUUCCUAGGAAGAAGGGGAGGGACCUGGGGCAGUGCCACAAGGACCCAGACACGAGCACGGGCCCUGCAGAGAGGAGGGGGUGGCAGGCACGCUGGGCUGGGGCACAGCAUGAGCUGGAGUGUGGCAGCAUGGACCAGGCAUGCAUGGGGAUUUGGCAGGAAGGAUUUGCGCUUCCCAUCCACGAAUUUGUAAACUGUCCCUGUGCGUCCCAUACUGCACUUAGUAAUCUGUGAGGGAGAAAAAAAAAAAAACAAUCACUGUGAAGAGCUGGAGAAUUCUUAGUUCUUGCCAGAAGGUGAAGCCCUUGCCUUGACAUCACCGUCUUUUGUCCUGGUUGGUGUGUUCGUCUCCACUGGCUGCUGUAACAAAUGACUGCAAACUUACUGAUUUAAAACAACAGAAAUGUAUUCGCUCACAGUUCUGGAGACCACAAGUCCAGAAUCGGUUUUACUUGGCCCAGAUCAAGGUACCUUCAGGGCUGAGCCUCCUCCAGAGGCUCUGAGGAGAAUCUGUCGCCGGCCUCUCCCAGCUCCUGGGGCUGCCGCGUUCCUUGGCUUGUGGCUGUGUCGCUCCAGUCUCUGUGCUGGCUGCAGCCCUCCACUGUCUCCUCAGGGGAUUCCCAAGUUCAGAAAAACCUUCUUUUUAUAACUUUAUGGUAUAGCAUCAGUAAACAGUGCUUUUCAAUUGA
rnacentral:lncRNA from 1 species